rnacentral:lncRNA from 1 species
CGUUACAAUUUGAAGACUCAAGAAUUCCAGAGAAAAACCUUUAUUACCCUGAGGGCUCAGAGUUCAUUCUGGCUCUAUCAGAAAUGAGAGCCUCCUUAUAUAGGAAUCUACAGAGUAGGUGAGCAUGUUCACUGAUGCAGUGGCUGGAGUUAUAGAACAUUCUUGCAAGGGGGCGGAGCCUAACAGAACAUUCUUGAAAGGGGGUGGAGCUUAACAGAACAUUCCUGAAAGGUCACACAGUUCAGUCACAAACCACUGAGAUACAUUGGGUAGCAGCCAAACUUACAUUUCUGGAACAAAACAUUCUGUGGAAAAAAACAAAACAAACAUGGUGGGAUGGUGAAAGCCAGAUGCUCCUAAUGAGUGGGGGCCCAGCACACACACGCUCCCCUUGCUGCUCCCCAUGAGGGAACACAGGAGUCCCGGCUGCUGUACAGAUCUGUGGGGAGGCAGGGAGGUGCUGCACGGGAGGAGAAGAAACACCUUCCUCAAGGAUGUCAGGGGCCCACACCAAGCUGAGAGGAACAAGAGGCAACUCGGGUACCUGACCCCCAGGCUUGCUUCCGCUCCGAAGGAAGUGGCACUCCAGCUUCAAGGCC